rnacentral:ncRNA from 2 species
CAAACAAUUUAACUCCGAGCCUUAUCGCCUACAGGACCCAUCCCACGGCGACAGGCCAUCGGGUUGCGCGGGAAACGGCGCAGCCUUCCUUUGAAAAGGAGAAUUUCACUGUGCCAG